UUUAAAGGGAUCCUGGGGUUCAGUCUAUGA
rnacentral:piRNA from 1 species